rnacentral:lncRNA from 1 species
GGGGAUUUGAAAGCACAAGCAGCUGAAAUAGUCCUCAAAUUAUUGUGAACCUGUCUUAACAUAUCUUUCUGAAUUUCAUAUUUAUAAGUAUAUGUAUAAAAUUCAUUUUUGUUUUCAUAGGAAAAUGCAUUAAUGGAAAUGGCUAUGUAGUGAAGCAGACAAUUAGACUUUCUGAAAUAAAUAUGCAGAGAGUUCAUCAAUAUGGCAAACAGUGUUUCUGGAGCCCAGAUUGUAACACAUAUUAGGAAUUACACACAAAGAAAAGAAAAAAAAGUUCCCUAUUUUCCUGGAGAAAUGAGAAAAGUGAAGCCUGAGGAAUUUAUGCAUGUGAUCUGAAAUCAAAUGGAUAUUAACUCUGGAAAUCAGUAUAUUCCAUUGAUUAUAGAAGACUGUUUUCCUAAGAGAAAACACAAUUCGGCCUGCAAACUACUAUCACAAAACAGUCUACAUCAUGACCAGACAACUGAUUUUUUCACUGAAGUGUGGGCAAGAUAAGAGGUCAAUUGUAGUUACUUUGAAACUGGACCAUUUCCUUCUGUGAGCAGGAGUAAGCUGAAGGUCUGAGGUAAGUAAAUGUCCAUCUCCUCAUAAUUCUAUCUUGGCCAGCAU